rnacentral:misc_RNA from 1 species
UGGAACGGCCGCUUCAAUAUGAUUGUGUGUAUCUCGGUGAACCAUCUCGGGAGCAUAAGAGCAACAGAUUUCUAUUUCUCUUGUGGCCCGCGUCUGGUUUGUUUGGACUCCCACUCCAUCCAUCAGACAGGAUGCGCAUCGUUUUGAUGUGUAUUCUGAUUACUUGGUCUGAAAUCGAGCAAGAAACCCGCUGAACUUAA